rnacentral:rRNA from 1 species
UGGGGAAUAUUGGACAAUGGGCGAAAGCCUGAUCCAGCCAUGCCGCGUGUGUGAAGAAGGUCUUCGGAUUGUAAAGCACUUUAAGUUGGGAGGAAGGGCAGUAAGCGAAUACCUUGCUGUUUUGUCGUUACCGACAGAAUAAGCACCGGCUAACUCUGUGCCAGCAGCCGCGGUAAUACAGAGGGUGCAAGCGUUAAUCGGAAUUACUGGGCGUAAAGCGCGCGUAGGUGGUUCGUUAAGUUGAAUGUGAAAGCCCCGGGCUCAACCUGGGAACUGCAUCCAAAACUGGCGAGCUAGAGUAGGGCAGAGGGUGGAGGAAUUUCCUGUGUAGCGGUGAAAUGCGUAGAUAUAGGAAGGAACACCAGUGGCGAAGGCGACCACCUGGGCUCAUACUGACACUGAGGUGCGAAAGCGUGGGGAGCAAACAGG